GACGAACGCUGGCGGCGUGCUUAACACAUGCAAGUCGAACGGAGAUGUCCCGCUUUUGUGGGGUGCUAGUGUCGAGCGCGGGUGUAAUACAUGUGAGUACCCUGCCUGUGACUGUGAGAUAACUUCAGAACCCUGGGGAAUAUUCCGGAUUGGAGCUUCUGCUGUAUGGUGGGGGUUGGAGAGUUUUGGGGGUUGGGGAUGGACUCGCGGCCUAUCAGCUUGUUGGUGGGGUAAUGGCUUACCAAGGCUUUGACGGGUAGCCGGCCUGAGAGGGUGACCGGCAACAUGGGAACGGGAAAACGGCCAGGACCCCUCGGGGGGCAAGAAGGGGGGAAUAUGGCACAAUGGGCGGAAGCCUGAGGCAGCAACGCGGCGUGCGGGAGAACGGCCUUCGGGUGGUAAACCGCUUUCGCCGGGGAGGAAGCGUGAGUGACGGUAAUUGGUAAAGAAGCACCGGCUAACUACGUG
rnacentral:rRNA from 1 species